rnacentral:rRNA from 1 species
AUUGAACGCUGGCGGCAGGCUUAACACAUGCAAGUCGAGCGGAGCGAGGGUGCUUGCACCUUAGCUUAGCGGCGGACGGGUGAGUAAUGCGUAGGAAUCUGCCUAUUAGUGGGGGACAACAUUCCGAAAGGAAUGCUAAUACCGCAUACGCCCUACGGGGGAAAGCAGGGGAUCUUCGGACCUUGCGCUAAUAGAUGAGCCUAAGUCGGAUUAGCUAGUUGGUGGGGUAAAGGCCUACCAAGGCGACGAUCUGUAGCGGGUCUGAGAGGAUGAUCCGCAUCAGUGGGACGGAGACACGGGCCAGACUGCUUCGGGAGGGAGCAGUGGGGAAGAUUGGGCAAUGGGGGGAACCCUGAUCCAGCCAUGCCGCGUGUGUGAAGAAGGCCUUAUGGUUGUAAAGCACUUUAAGCGAGGAGGAGGCUACUGAGACUAAUACUCUUGGAUAGUGGACGUUACUCGCAGAAUAAGCACCGGCUAACUCUGUGCCAGCAGCCGCAGUAA